rnacentral:rRNA from 1 species
GUUUACGGGCAUACCAUCCUGAACGCGCCCGAUCUCGUCUAAUCUCGGAAGCUAAGAAGGGCCGGGCCUGCUUAGUACUUGGAUGGGAGAAAGGGGAUGUGCGCACGCAGGUGCCUGGAGAAA